UAUAUCUUGGUGUAAUUGCACAAGAAACUUUGAUUUUCUAGGAGUUGGAUCUAUACCAGCAGAGAUAG
rnacentral:tRNA from 1 species